GUUACUAUCUCUGUCCAGUAAUGGUGGGAGCAGAUCGAUGCACCGAACAUCACUAGUUGGUGUCUAUUCACAAAAAUCAUUAUAAAGCCGGUCAACGAACGGACUGCGUAUAGUGAGUUCAAGCUCAUCGAACCGUUGCUGUGUCGCCGUCGUCGUAGAAAGUACAGAGCGGUUUGAGGUCCCACAGAAGGGCUCAAGGCCAAUGAACCAUUCGUUACAGUCACUCCUGUCCAGCCAGAGGCACAGAUCUCCCAAAUGGAAGUAGAACGUGCACCCGACCCGACGUUCUGAACCUGUAUAGCUCAUCAGCAAUCUCGUUUCCCUCCAGACCCGGAUGCCCUGGGAUCCAAUAUAGGUAGACUCGAUUGUAUAUGGAUAAGUUUUUGAAAGUCAGAAUAGAAGGAAAUGGCUCUGAAGACAGAGAACAAAUAGGCCUACGAGAGUGGAACUUGAAACUGAUAUUUGAAGUAGGGGUGAGAAUCGCAGCAUAAUCGAUCACGUUAGCUAUUGUCUCGUGUGAAAAUGAAACCAAUAGACGGCUGAAUGUUUAGUAUUUAGUAUUGUGUUGUUCCUUGCUGUGCCUGUGACUGCGAGUGUAGGAAAAUAGUGUCGCACGAUCGUUUCGUUUUAAGCAAUAGGUCGACGGUGGGCUCGAGUGAAUCAUUGAUGAUUGUGAAUGAUGAUGAUGAUGAUGAUGAUGAUGAUGAUGAUGAUGAUGAUGAUGAUGAUGAGUGAAUGAUGAAGCUUGUUCCUUGUUUUUCUUUGAAAAAAAAAAACGCAGUAUAUGUAUCUAUUAUUUUAAAAUCAUCCUUCAUCAUAUAUGUAUUUACUUAACAAAAACUGCUAAGUUCGUCACUUCAAGUGUUGGUCCAAUUUUUCAUUAAUUUGGUUUCAUUUUAAUUAAAAUGUCCUAUAUUUUUGUAAUGCCCGCCACCUUACGGUGCUCACCACACUAUUUUGAUCCGCAUAUAUGCGUCAGAAUUCUUCAGAGUUUGUGCGGUCCAUCACUGUUAGUGUCGGCACAAAAUUUUGUUUUAAUAGGGUAUUUUAACCAAUAGUGGACCCCUUAGUAGCUGAAAAUUGUUCUGAUCGUUAAAACAGUAUGAUAUUCCAAUUAAAUUGCCCCUGUCAACGUUUGCACAGGAAGUUCUAUGUCUUUCCUGCACAUUGCACACAAAAACCUUACCAAACCACCCUAUAUUUCCCAUAAAAUAAUCAUUUCAAAUCUGGCUCAAAUUAUCCUAUAGUGGUCCCCCCGGGGUCCACUAUAGGAUUGUUGGGGUCCACCAUAGGAUAAAUCGUAUUCUCUUACCAUGUUAAAACGGAGACAAUAGUGGACCCCCUUGGAUUUAACCAAUAGUGGUCCCUCAGAUUUUUUAUUUUUUUUAUUUUCUUUUUAUCUGUAUUACCGAGAUUUUUAGCCCUAGGCUAGUUCAUCUCGGGACCCACGUUUUACUUCCCUUCCGAAGGAAGAACUCGCAUUUUGCGAGUUUGUCGGGAGUGGGAUUCGAUCCCAGGUCCUCGGCGUGGUAGUCAAGUGUUCUAACCAUCACACCAGGUCUGCUCCACUCCCCCAGAUUUGUUUACAUUUACAAAUUUGUUCAAAAAAAAUCAAAUUAUUGCUUUCCAGCGUAGCUCCACCACUUGUAACUACUGGCUAGGAACAUGAUCCAUCGUCUCCCGGUGGAAGUUCACCGGUAAAAACAGAUUUAAACAGGAAAAUUAGGAAAAAUAUAAGGGGGUCCACUAUAGGUAAGGGGUCCACUAUUGGCUAAAAUACCCUAUACUGAGUUCAUGGUAAGUAGCAAUGUAUAUUGGUUCACAAUCCCUCCCAAUUGCGAGGUGAUGCAACAUCUUUUUCAUUCCAUAAAUUUUCUUUUAGAAUUUUCCUGGUCUCACUAUUUUUUCAAAUUGUGAGGUGACACAUUUGUGUGUAUAUUGUAUAAAUGCUCACGGUUGCAUGGAUCGCAUACCAAAAGGAAUCCUUGAUCUAUACAUCUAUCAAUCCCUUUCUACUAACAAAACUCCUUCCCGUGACAAUUGUAGAGGGCCCAGUGGUACAUACUACCUUUAGUCAGUGCUGCAUAAUAUCAGUCAUGUCAGUUGACUAUUGAUGUUGCACUACCGUCACUAUCACUGCAGGCCGAUCAAUUUCAGGACGAUAAUGACAGGCAACGACUUGAUACUGAUUCGCACUCCAGAUCAUUAUCAUUGCAACUGAGCUGAUAGUUAGGCGAGUCUAGCCAAAUCUCAAAAUGUUUAAUUUUUUUUAUCUGUAUUAACGAGAUUUUUAGCCCUAGGUUAGUUCAUCUCGGGACCCACGAUUUACUUCCCUUCCGAAGGUAGAACUCACAUUUUUGUGAGUUUAUCGGGAGUGGGAUUCGAUCCCAGGUCCUCGGUGUGAUAGUCAAGUGUUCUAACCAUCACACCAGGUCCGCUCCACCAUAAUGUUUAAUGACCAAUAUGUAAUACUUGUUGUUUAAUGCCACAUAUUAAAAUAUCAUCACUGAAGGUGUUUAUUUCGAUUUUAAAAAGAAUUUUAAAGAUGGCCUAUCGGUGGUAUCUACACGCCAUCACAGUCGCUUCAGUGGUGAUGGAGGAAGCAAAGAGACAGUGACUCAACAGAGUACACGCUGACUUGGAUCGCAGUUAGCCUAUCAAUAUCGGCGAUUUGCCUACCUUUGAUAGUGACAGAAAACAACUCUGCCUCUAGUAGCAACAGUUGUCGAACUAACAUUCCUUCCCUUCCUCGUUUGACCGUAAGGACAUGGUCAGUGUCGUUAUUGACCGAAUAAAGUUUGAGCUCUCGAAAUGUGUACAUUGAGGAUGGUGGCAAAUCCCAAGUCCAAAGUUCUCUGUACAAUUUCGCUAGCAGGGUCACACGGAGUAGCAACUACGAAGUGUGCGGUUACCAAUGCUCAUGCUUAGAGAAAUGGACUUUACCUAACACGUUUUUUUAGUCAACAACUCAAAUUUACAUACAUUACGUUGAAAACUACAUCUUUCUUGUAAAAUUAAGUCCCGAAGGACGGAAAAUGUGUGCAACUCAUAUGAAAUUAAGUCUUACAAAGCGUAACGUUAUGUGUUUUGACCUGUAAAUUUGCAUCUCCAAAGACGCUCGUUUACGUCAGGUUUGGUCACCUAAAUCUACACGAUUAUUUCUAGGUGUUUCAUAUAGGAGUAUAUUGUAUAUUGAAUGUUUAUGUGCCAAACCAAAUAUCAGAAGCAUUUUAUAAAAUUUUCGAACUUUAUUAUUAUAUGGUAAUAAUAUUCAUGGAUGAAAUGUUUGACCACAGAUAACAUACGUUCAUGCUCACAUAUAAAAUUUGUAUAAGCACUCCCAACCGUCAUUUCAAUAAGAAAACCUAACUAGCAAUCAUUUGGAGAUGGCGCAAUGAUCGCUUUCGUAACGCUAGAGGGUAAAUGACAAACGGAAAUAGUCAGAUUGCAAUUACUGCAGCAAUUCGUUGUAUGGAUGGCAGCAGUGAGCAAAUUAUUUGGUUUACACAGUUUUUACACAUUAUUUGAUCAAGGGCAAGCAUCUGUUAUCUGUGGUUUGACAGUAUGUUUAGAUUCAUCUUUUUUAUAUUCCGUAUUAGCAUUACGUGUGGACCGUCAGUAUUUCGCAUGUAAAAUGUAUGCGAGAUUGUUUAAAACAGGUUAACCUUCACGUACCCGACCCCCGCCAACUCAUUUUGAAAAUGCUGGCAUUUUGUCAAAUUUAAUCCGAUUAUUGUGAAGUCGCCCUCAAUCGAUCAUAAAUUGGUGCUAGUUUAUUAUACUCAAGUGGCCUUGCAGUAUCUGGAACCAUUCCAGGGAUAUUCCGGAUUGUGCUGGGGUCAGGGAGUUGCCAAAAUAAGUAAAUAAGUAAAAGUGAAUAUUUCGGGUGUUAUUGUGUUUGAUCCAUUAAUUUUCAGCAAUUUUUUUGUUGUGAACAGUGAAACACAACUACAAUAACCAGAUUUGAAUAAGUGGACCCAUUCGGAUCCCCUUUACAGGUUCCGCGGAGCCUCUUUCGGAACACUUCUGGUUUUUAACUUAAACAUGCUGUGCAACACACCAAUCUUCAUGAUUUCAAAUGACUGAGUCAGAUACGAUAGACUGAUGUCUGUAUCAACUUAUAUGGCCACCCCGGAACAUCUAGCACAGGUUCCACGGGGUGUCAUCGGGGACAUUUCUGGUUUGCAACCAAAACAUGCCGUACGAAGUAUCAAUUUUCAAGAUUUCGAGAGACGGAGACAGAAAAAAAAUGCAUGAAGUAACUAUCAAUUGAUGUGGCCACUCCGGAACACCUGAAACAGAUUCCGCGGGGCCUUUUAAACACAAUAACACCCGAAAUAUUCACUUUUAGCCAUUUGACAAAACAGACAACUCCCGCACCCCCUGACCCCAGUACAAUCCGGAAUAUCUCCGGAAUGGUUCCGAAUAUUACAUGGCCACUUGAGUAUAAUAAACUUGCACCAGUUUAUGAUCGAUUGAAGGCGAUUUAAAAAAAAUCGGAUGAAAAUUAACAAAAUGCCAGCAUUUUGAAAAUAAGUUGUCGGGGGUCGGGUACGUGAAGGUUAAAACAUUAUAGUAUUUGAUCUUGUGAAGUGUUACCACUAAAAAGAACAUUACAUUCAGUUUAUCAUAAAUAUUCGAAACAGUCCCUGAAAUCUUCUCAGAAUAUACCUUUUGUGGAUGUCCUCUAAGCGUUUCAUAGUUCUAUUAUUCUUGGAUCAUUGACCUUUCCUAUUCAAGGAUGAGAUCUAUUAUAAUGGCAUUCAGAGAAGAAAUUCGUUUUUUCAUUCUCCUUUGCAAUGAAAAGAAAUUAUGCGAAACGUAACACCCGAAGAAAGGGUAACAUACGUGCAGAUGCAAAUUAGUCCCAAUACCUGCAUGCAUGUGCCAAUUGGCGAACGUCCCGAAUAGGAGAUUGCCUGCAUCCAGCAACGGAAAAGCCAAGAUCUCACACGCGGUGGUCCGCUCAAAUAGGGGUCAAUGAACAAAGAGCACUUCACCGACCGGGCUGGUGCUGACUGGGAUGCAGCGCAAGCAGUCACAAUCCGCAAAAGAUCAUAUUCCCAUGCUCUUGUUGAUGUGUUGUUAUUCUAACGGAUGAUGCUCCCUGCCAAACUGGACAUCCCGCGUGAGAGAUCAAUUAUGGCACUGCAUGAACGGCGAAGCCUAUACAAAGUAGGUAUUUGCUUUCUUAGCAUCUGCCCGGACCCUCCUCGCGGUCUCGGGUCGGUCGGCGAAAGGUUACACCCCGCAGUAGGACGUGCGAAUAUUAGACAAACUCCAUCCCGUAUGUUGCCAUACAUAUUUUCUUCAGGAUCGUACACCAAUCGAAAACCGGUUAUGCAAACCGGCACUCGGUUGGACACUCUGUGCGCUCUGAUGGGAUACGAACGAACGAGGGCCGCUGCAUGCUGGACCGACCCGAGCUGCAGUGAGGUUGCUUCAUUUUAUUCCUUCUUUCUAAACGCACUUCGCGAACCACCUCGCGGAUCUUCCCGCAUUCCGUUGCAGGCGACAGAACAUUAGCAUAUUUUACACAGCGUCCGUCCGGUCGUGGUGCAACUAUACGAUCAAGCAAGAACUUGGCCGCCUAAGUUAUUCAUUCUCAUAUCUUGAAAACUACACUCACGGAGAUAGAUCAACUGAUUCCUCAGCCUAUUCUAUUUGGAGGUUGCAAGCCUUAGGGAUUUUUUUUUCAAGUUUACGUGUCCUUUACAUACAAUGGGAUGAGCCGAUUGAAUUUUUAUGAUGGUUCAAUGUGCACACUUACUGAGAUAUCCUUUUUACAUUUUUGUGAUCUUUUUAUCCUCGAAUGACAAAAAAGAAAUGCACGAGUAAAGCGUAAAUGCCUAACAUUUUUGAAACUUUGAGAGUUUUUGAAUAAUGGUAAAUAUACAAUUAUUUGAGGUUUCUGGCAGUCGCGCGGUUGGCCACCACCAGCAGCAAUUAAUUGCUAUUACUUUUUAAGUUUUAAGUUGUCAUUACAUGAGUCCAAUAAUCAACUUUGAAAGAGCCCUGACCUGCAGAAGCUUCUAAUGAGAGGCUUUUCAAUGAGAGCGAGUUUUCAAUGUAGUCAUGUAUCAAUAUAAGGUACAGAGUUCAAUCAGAAAGAUCUCACUUACACCAGCUCAUCGAAUGUUGAAAUGAAUCUAGGCACUGUCCAUAAACUACGUAGACUUUUUUCGGCCAUCUCAGACCCCCCUCCCCCGUCGUAGACUUUUGUUCAUACACAAUUUUCAAAAUUUGUAUGGAGCGUAGCCUUUUGCCACACCCCCCCCCCUAAGAGUCUACGUAGUUUAUGGACAGCCCCCUAUGGUUGUUCUGUAGUACUCAUGCUAGUGUACUUUAUUGUCAAAAAAAUAUGGAAACCAUGUUUUUUGGAUACACCGAAGCCUUCAUUUAGAUCAGUGAUUCUCAAAGUGGGCGAAAAUCAGACCCAGGGGGAGCGAAUUUUUUUUUUCGUAAAAGUUGGUUUAUUUGUCAAUUUAUUAGUAUUAGUUUACAAUAUUUAAAAGUUUACAAUUCUAAGUGAAAAUUCAAAGCAUUUACAUCAAUUACAUUGUAACAGUCAUUUACAAAGCUGAUGUAUUUCAUAAAUAUUCUAAGAAUUGCCACUCGUUGUGUUCUGUUCAUUCCUUCCAGACCAGGCUGUACGAGAUCCUCAAACGUGAGUCGUCUCCACCCAUCCAUUGUGCCUGUCAAUCUUCGCUGAAGGACCGUCCAAGCCGGGCUGAAUUUAAAAAAUCAGAAUUGGGGGGCGAAAAUACUAAAAAGGGGGGCGAUUUUUUCAAUGAUUGGAAAACAUCGAUAGUAUUGAACUACAAGUUAAGAAUGUCAACUGAAUCAUUAAAAAUCCCUGUUAUUCAAGCUACAGUUCAAGUCUUGUCUAGGAUUACAGAAAAAUUUUGUCACUAAUCACUAUUAAACUUAAACAUCGACUUUACAUAUUUCUUAAAAAGACACGGACAACGUCUUCAGCUUUCGGCUGUACAGACUGUUUUUAAACUUAACAUUAGACAACGGACAACGGAGCAUGCACCAGUGGAAACGGGGAAGAAACUAUUCUCACGAAAAGUUUCAACGCCCGAAGCGGGAAUCGAACCCUCACCCCAUAGCAUGGUGCGAUUAUAAGCUUGGUGACCCUAACCGCACGGCUACGAGGCUCCAUUUCACAUAAUUAUUCGUAUUUAUGUGGACUCUUUGGCAAAAUAGCUAGAAAAAAAGACUGCUACACGUAUUUCUGCAAAGUUUCUGUUAUUCUGGAAAUCUAAAAAAGUGUAUUUGAAAACUCCUAUAACGAAUAUUUGUGAAUUUUGAUUAGUUUUGUCAAAAUUAUAAAAAGAACAUGUUUUUUUUUCGCAAAUUGAUGAGCAAAAUUGGGUAUCAACUCGUAGUCGGAUUUCUUCAUGGAAUUUGAAUAAAAAACAUGAGGUUUAGACGAAUUUCAGAACACUUUUUUGGUGAAAUUCGUAACACAGUGCUUACAAACAACUUGUAUUUGAAAAUAUUUCAGAGAAGCUUCCCGGAGGAAUUAUACGAAGGUCGUUUAUUUUAAUCUGGAUUUAGAAAAAAAAAACUACAUUUGAAAAUACACCGAUAUUUUUCUGAAUUGCACUUGUUUUACAUAACAUAUUUUUAUUAUUUUAUAAUCUCCACCAGUAUUAUUACUAUUUGUGACCAAACACAUUGACUUUCGGCUGUUGAAAAACUUCCUUUAAGAACAAUGGUAUCACAUCUGGUUGGGAAUAUCGAGUGUUCGUAGGUGUUCACAGUCCUUACAAUUUUGAUUAAUCAAUUCUCAAUCAACAACGAUUUGAAAAGUAUGCACAAACACGAUAAUUAAAUCAUGUAAGCACGAUUGAAGUUCAGAAUAUUUUAUUGAAAUGCGGAAAAUCAACGUAUUUACAAAACAGCUUGAUGAAAAUGAGAGUGACACAGAUUUAGAUACAUUAAAGCUAAGCACAGUUUCAGCCUUCUAAAAAAUGAAAUCUCACCUAAGGGGGCGAAAAUAUUUUUUUGCAACUCUACGGGGGCGAUACCUCCUAAAGUUUGGAAAACAUUGAUUUAGGUGAUAAGCCUGGGUUGCCUAAUAAUAAUUUUCAAUUUAUGGAUUCAUAUUACAGUACUUUUUUGAUUAUAUCACGAAUAAAAAAACAAAAUCACGUGAUAUAUUGGAGCGUGAUAAAUCGAAAAUUUAUUUUUAGAACUCAUUUAUUAAUCAGAAUACACUCACAUCCAACAAACGAAAACAAAAACAAACAAAUAGUCACCAACAUUUAAAAAUGAUGUAACUAUAGUACCUUUUUAUAAAGUUGUGUACCGAAUCUAAUUUAUUCCGAGCGAUCUACCAAUUUUGAUGGAAAGAUAUAGUCCUUAUCUUACCGAUAUUGGGAAUGGAAUGCAUAGGAAUAAUUAAAUACGACAAACAUCUUCAUAAGAAGUUACUGUUUUCGAACGUAGUUAUGCCUUAUUAAAAUGUCUGUUUUAAUUAAUGGAAGUCUAAAAUUACUGUUAUUGUCAUGAUUUUUACAUUACAGUUUAUCAAAAAUGCCCAAGGCCAUAGCUUCCCAAACUUCAUUACAUGACUCCCAAACCCCUUGGAGGUACGUUUGAGUUGAUCUUUAUGAGGCGAGUUCUUUUGUGCUACAUUGUAGAAAGAUGUAAAACUAUUCCCAAAAAAAAUAGGAACGUAACAGUUCUGUAAAAAUAAAUCAUAUUCAGUCCGUAUUCAACCCAAAGCCAGUUCUAAAACUUCCAAAACAUUUUGUCGAACACACUCUCUGAUCAGUAUUCAGUCAAAAUUUCAGCUUUGUAAAGCAUUCCAUUUGUUAGAUAUUCGAGUCCAGCGUCCGGCAUACAUUGGUGGUACACAAAAUCAUAUCCUAAUAUGCAAAAUGAGUAUAAUAUGACGAUGCAUACGUCAUUUAUUUUUCUUUUAUUGUCGAGAUUUUUACUGUAAUUCUACAUAUAAUAGUCCCAUGUACAGUGAUAGACAUUCGUUUCGCCGAGACCAAAAAAAUUCAAAAAAGUGUCAGGAAACUCAUACAAAAGAUUUUAUGAUAAAACUUUUUUAUCGUAGUGAUAGUAUAUCUAGUACUGUUUUAUAAAAAUGUGAUACAUCACACUUACAUAUACACUGAAACAAAAACGAGGGUAAAAACCCUUCAAAUGUAAUUUUUUGCCUAGACAUUCGUUUAGCCGAGGUAAAUGAACAACUGGUUUUCAAUAGAUUUUUUGCAAUUUCGUGAGUAUAUUUCGAGGAUAUACCCCAAGGCAUUUAGUUUAUGACGUGUUAGCAAGAUAAUUGACGUUGAAAGUUUAUUUAUUUGUGAAAUUCAGAGAAAUAUAUAAAAAAAAGUCCCGAUAAGAAGAAGCGAUGAUAAACAUAUUUAUUUAAGAAAAAUUAUUUUUGUAAACACUUAAACGUAAGCUUGACUAGCUGUUUUGAAAAUAUGGCACAGAAUUAUUGUUGGAAAUGUUCAAAUUAUUGCAUAAAAUGUCAUGAAAAAAUAAAGUAUAUUGGGUUUUGGUUGGUUAAACUUUAAAAUGGGAUUGAUAAAAGCUAAAAUAAGUAGUUCUGCGUUAAAAUAAAGACGUGCCCUAAUGCCUGUGUAGUAUACUUGUUCGAUAAUAGCAUUACUAAAUGAGUUAGAAGACUGCUAAGUGAAAGAACUGCAAGAAGUGUCAGAAUUUUUGUACCCUGUAUAUUUAAAAGCAGAUGUUCAUACAAAAAUGCAUAUGGUCAAACAAUUGGUUUAUUUUAUUCAAUCUGCAGAAAUAUAUUAUGAAUGAGUCUUAGUAUUGAACCACAUUCAUGUUUAACAUAAUUUAUUUGAAAAGAACGUCUAAAACAAGGGGGAGGUCACAUCAGUAAUAUUGGGAUUAAUACGGGUUGAUAUGAAAUGAUAAAAUAUUAAUUUGUUAAUAUUAGUUGUAGUCAUCAAGCAAGCCGUGGCUUUUGAUGUACGAACAAAUUUGAAGUUUCAUGGUAAACAACGGUCAUGGAAUCAGAUAAAGUAAGUCUUCUUUUCUUUUCAUUUUCGAGUAGCACGUAACAUUGUCAUUUUUUUCUUUAUUUUAGGAUAUCCAUUCUUACUUUUGGGAGCGAAUGCAAGAGGCAGUCGGCGUAUUACCAAAACAUCUGAUGCGCAUCCUGAAUCUGCAAGGAUACUCGUCAUGCGAUGCUUUGGCAGAAGUGAAGGAUUCCGACGUUACCCAAAUCCAAAGCGAUAUGAGGCUGCUUGCUCCGGUAAAAAAAGCGUGUCUUGGGACGGACGAAAUGCGAAAUCUGUACGGACAAUUUGCGACGUCUCCAGAAUCGUUUAUUUUUUAAAUGGCGAAAGGAAAGCAAUUUUAAAAAUUGCAGAAGUUGUGCGGAAGUAUGGCAUUCAUCACUUCCUACCUGGAACCAGUGGUAAGCCAUGCACAGAUUUUAGACCAUCAGCAAAAAGCAGUGACCUGGCCGAUGUAUUGCUCCGAAAAAUUAAAACAUAUUAUGGAUCCAGGUGAGUCCUAUUAAGCAUAUGUAACUUUGAAUGCUGAAUCUAUCUCAUUUGUUCUCAGACGUGUGGACACCAUCGACUUCGCAUGCUUUUUUGCAAAGCUGGACGGCUUGACAGCUACCGUGAGCAUACAAGAAGAUGGAUCGGCCAUCGGCAUGGUCACUUGCAAAAUGUGUAAACCAGAGAAAACCGUCAAGCUGAAGAAAACCCCAAUGGGAACAUGGUUGCUUGGAAAUUUUGUAAAACAUAGUUCCCAAUACCACUACUGCGUUCGAAAUUCGAAACCGAACAUGAAAAGAAAUUCAGCAGAGAUCGUGACCUCUACUCCAAAGAAAAAAAAAAUAAGGAACCGAGUUUGAUGGAAACUGAUGCGUCGACAAUAUCAGAGAGCAACACUACUAAUAUAAGCGAGUCACACCUUUUCUUGGAUUCGGCUGAAGCCAGGGAUGAAACAGAUGCAGAAUGCAAUGAAAUCUGCAAUAGCUGUUGGGAAGGUGAUAAUAUUUGAUUUAAUUUGCCAUUUAUUUGUUCUUUUAUAUAAUAAAUGUCUCCAUUACCAUUGCUGUUAUAAAAUUGCAUUUAAUGUUAAUAUCUACAUAAAACGUGAAAUAUUUUCCAGAUUACUCAAGCCAAGAAAGAACAUUGUCUACAAACCGUAUAGCAAUUCAUCUCAAUCUUUCCAUGGAUGGGCCGUGCCUUGAAAAUUCUGAAUUGAGUGGCUUUUGUGAAGGUGAUUAUGUUCGAAUUACUGUGCAGUAUGCCAUUGUACCGAUCUACAGCGACCCAAUAUUUAAACGAAUUACAAUUCGAAACAAUGUAAUAAUAAUUAUCCCCAACUUUUUUAUGUUUCCAAAACACUGAAUUCCUAAUCUAGCUAACGUGAAAGUGUCAAUUACAAAGGAUGCGAAAAAUCAAUGCCCACUUGAUGAUAUUUUUGAUAAAAGGUUUAAUAUUUUUGAUAUUUAUCAUAAUAUUGAUACCAGAUCGGGCUGUCCUCCCCUGGUCUAAAAUAUGAAACAAGUAGUUCAUGCUAGAAAUUUGAAUACCUUCGGUGCCAUUUCUCGAAAUGUGAGCCGUCCAAUGUAUGUUAUUUCAGCCAGAAUACAGUCUAGAAGAUAUUGGGAGCUAUAAGAAGACGUAAUAGUAGUAAACGCUGUGAUUUUUGGAAGUGAAAUCAUCAUAUUUCAUCUAAACAAUACUUAAAUACGUGAUUUUUUGAUGGUUUGCGUUAUUUUUUUCAGUAAAAAAAAAUGGUUUUCGUAAAUUUUCAACCUGCACUCGUCAUGAAUCUUUCAUUACAUUCUUUUGAAACACUUCCGAUAAAAAUAACUACAUCAAAUCUCAAUUUGGAAACAUUUACAAUAUUAUGACAUUUUUAUAUGAGAUGCAUGUAAAAUUAAUAUGGCAACACUUCCAAAAACGAUCUAAUUCAUGAUUUACAAGUCGAUCUAUAAUGUAGAUCACCAUACAAAACCAUUUUGUUGGAUAUGUUUCGAAUUUGUUAGUUUUUUUAUUAUGAAAUUCCAAAACUUGUACAAUUCGGCUAAACGAAUGUGUAGGCAAAAAAUGACAUUUGAAGGGUGUUUACCCUCGUUUUUGUUUCAAUGUAUAUGUAAGUGUGAUGUAUCACAUUUUUAUAAAACAGUACUAGGUAUGCUAUCACUACGAUAAAAAAGUUUAAUCAUAAAAUCUUUUAAAUGAGUUUCCUGACACAUUUUUGAAAACUUUUUGGCCUCGGCUAAACGAAUGUCGAUCACUGUAUAUAGGGAAGCCCAUACAACAUGGAACAAUUAUGCGUAGAAAGGCAUUUAAUCUCAGGAUAGUUUAUUUCGGGAGCCACGAUUUUACGACCCUUUAGAAAGAAGAACUCACAUUUUGUGAGUUUGUCGGGAAUUGGGGUUCGAUUUCAGGUCCUCGGCAUGUUAGUCAUGUGCCUUAAACAUCACACUAGGUUCGCUUCUAUAUGUCCUAUCUAGUUUAGAAUAUGUGGUUGGCAAUAUUUCCAGCGAUUAUUAUGGCGUGAUAUAAUCGAAAAAAAUACCGUGCUAAAAUCGAGCGUGAUAUAAUGGAGCAUGAUUAAAAAGAACCGUGACCAGAAAUGCAGUGAAUACCUGGUCCCAACGCAUCACCUGUUCAUUGACUUUUAAGCGGGAUACGACAGUACGGUAGCGCAGAGCUAUAGAGAGUCAUGGACGAAGCUGACUGCGCUAAGGUUGCGGGUGAGCUAUCCAGUUCAUUCGAAUCUCGGCGGGGACUGCGACAAGGGUGGACUCUCAUGCCUACUCUUCAACAUCGCUCUGGAAGGUGUGAUACGACGAGUCGGGCUCAACAUCUGGGGAACGAUUUUCUCAGAAUCCGGUAAAUUUGUGUGCUAUGCGGAUAUGGACAUUAUCGCCAGAACAUUUGGAACGGUAGCAGAACUGUACACCCGCCUGAAACGUGAGGCAGAAAAGCUCGAACUGGUGGUGAAUGCCUCAAAAACAAAGUACAUGCUGGUGAGCAGAACCGAACACGACCGGAUCCGUCUGGGCAGUAAUGUGACGAUAGACGGAGAUACCUUCGAGGUGGUAGACGAAUUCAUCUACCUCGGAUCCUUACUGACGGCUGACAACAAUGUGAGUCAUGAAAUUGGAAGGUGCAUCAUCAGCGGAAGUCGUGCACCAUGUACGAAACGCUGAUAAGGCUGAUGGUCCUUUACGGAUACGAGAUAUAGAUAGAGAAACCCUGCAUCCAGAAGGUGACCAAAGUCGGAAGGAUACGGUGGCAGGGCAUGUUGCAAGAAUGCCGGAAAACAACCCUGCAAAGUUGCCCAAGCAGCACACAUGUUGUAUAAGAGUUAUGACAGCGUUAGUUUUGGUUAUGUCGUCACUUUUAUAUAACAUAAGUGUUGCUUGGGUGGUGUUCGCGACUGAUCCGGUUGGCACAAGAAGGCGUGGAGCGGAGAGAGUACGAUGGGCGGACCAGGUUGAGCGUGACCUGGCAAGCAUUGGGCGCGACCGAGGAUGGAUCGCAGCUGCCAAAAUCCGAGUAUUGUGGCUUACUAUUGUUGAUUAUGUCUUGUCUUAAAUGUGAUGUGGAGCAAAUAAAUGUAUGCCAACCAAAAAAAUAUCUACUUGCUAGAAGUAAGUCACAGUGACUUCUGUGCAACAAAAACCUGCGUCGCCGUGACUAUCCUGUUACAAGUGGGUUUCAGGAUGGGGGGGGGGGGGAGUUCAUAGGCGUUACAGAGGGCUUAAGUAAGGUUUCGGAGGGUCACAGUGCAUUACAAAGGGUUCGAGGGGGUCUUUGGAAGCAUUUCAGGAGGUUUAAAAAUUUUCUUUCAGAGAAAUUCAGAUAAAUCUAGGAUAAAUCAAUUUUUAUUGAAGCUUCAUGGAGCGAUUGAAGUUCUAUUAUACUAUUUAAGUGUAAAUUCUACCAUUUUUGGAGAAAUUUUAGAAGAAAUCCUUGAUAAGUUCAUGAAGGAAUUUUCGACCUAAGUUUUAAUGGAUUUUUGAGUGAAAUUUUUAGAAAACUUUUGUCAAUUUUAGUGAAAAUUGUCUACAAAACUUUUAAAUUAUCUCAAUAUCUGUAGAGGUUUCCCAAAAAAAAUCCUUCUGCAAUUUCCACAAGGAAUCUUUAUUAGGUGUUCUUAUUGAUUACAUCCUCAAUAAAAAAUCUCACGAAUAAAUUUUUUUCAAAAUAAUGCGGCUAUAAUUUUUGCUAUCGUUUCUCUACCAAUUAUUCAACAGUUCUGUGGUUAGAUUUAAUAGUUCAUAAGUUGCCUUAGUAAAAUCAAACCUUAGAAUUGAAAAAAGAAUCUUAAAUUUUUAUUAAAAUUUCUGCUAUUCAAUAAAGAAUUCUAAGGAAAAUUCUUCAAAAUAUAUUAAAAAUUUCAGAUAUAGUUAAACAGCUAUACCGUCGUUGGGGCUGACAAUGGAUCAGAGGGGCAAAAUUGGGUCGAAACAUCAUCUGAAACAUCUCAUCGAAUAUUGCGAAUAUUGAAAAUAUAAAUUUUAUGGUAUCCUCCUCGCAGUCACGGUCACCCCUUCCAGCUUUAUGGUAGCUGGGAAACCAGUGGAGAAUGUUGAAAGCUUUCAAUAUCUUGGUAGCCAAAUGGCGGUCGAUAGCGGCACCAAGAUCGACAUAAGUGCACGGAUCAAGAAGGCGAGGGUUGCUUUUGCGAGUUAUAGAAAUGUAUGGAAAAACAACGACUGAUCUGACGCACCAAAAUCCGAAUUUUUAACUCGAUCGUUAAUUCUGUGCACCAGUGAAACCUGGUCAGUGGAGAACACGCAACGGCUGCAGGUCUUCAUCAAUAGAUUCUCACAACUGGAUCUCCAACGUGGGCUCCAUCGUCGAUGUCAUCAAAAGCCGAUAGCGACAGAAAUUCGGGAACGAAAGUGGAGGUGGGUCGGCCACACUUUACGCAGGGGGGGAAACGAAAUCUGCAAGCAAGCGUUAGACUGGAAUCCAGCAGGACAUCGCAGCAGAGGCAGACCCAGAGGCUCAGGGUGGCGCAGCCUCAACAACGAAAUCAAGCAAGUGGACAGAAAUUUGACCUGGCCACAGGUCAAGGCGAUGGCUGGCAAUAACCCAGGGUGGAAAUCUUUCAAUUCGGCCCUCUGCACCACCUUGGGUGCCCAGGAUUGAAAGUGAGUAGGUAUCCUCGCAGUUGCCAGCAGAUCCUGUCGCAAAUUUAGGCUUCUAGAGCAAUUAGUUAAUUUUUAAUAAUCCAUCGAAAAAAGCUUGAAAAUAAGGCCUUUACAAUAGCACCAGUCAGUCCCAUCCACAUAGCCCUAGGCCUUUCACUUCCAACUGAGAAAUUCAGUGUUUGAUGAUGCCCUCAAGGGGGAUUAUUGACACCACUUUUGCCGAGUCUCGUAGCAGAUACGCUAUUGAGGGAACUCAAUAAUAGUAGUUUUCUUACUUAUGGGUUUGUUGAAGACUACCUUAUAUUGUUAGUUUAGUUGAUAUGUUUAUCAGCACCCUUUUCGACAAUUUGGAGGGUCUAAUUCAGCCUUUUACAGAAAAAUAAUAAAAAAUCGAAGGGUAUGGUUUUUGGGAAAUCAUUUUGAACAUUAUUUAAAAUCAACAAACCGUUUUCAAGUAAUACAUUUUUGAAGAAGAAAACAAAGUUUAUUUCAUACGGCCUUUUCAAAAAUUAAUUGAAGAUAAAUUGCUGUGCUUCAUAUGAAUAUUGAAAAUCACAUAAAUACGAGGUUUUGGACGAAGUUGAUCUUACAUAGAACUAUUUUCUAAAUGAAACAAAAAAGUACGCCUGAAAUGUUAUUGCCUUGAAUUUAUUCCAUGUUUUAUCCAUACCUCAGCAUCAUGCGUAUCGCAUUGAGCUGUCCGUUGCGAGGACCUCAAAUUGGUAUAAGAUAACAAAGUGAAGAAAAAAGAAAAUCCCAUCUCACAUCCCAAAUAUGAAGAAACUGUUGCCGGGUGCUGCUGUCUCGUUUUGUCGCACAACGAACCCCUAGUGACCCACGUAGCGAUGAAAUGCCGUUGCAUCCAUCCUGUAUAGGAAGGUACGUCCCUCACUGAGGGGUCCCGGAGUGGGAGCCCUCAGCCUGAAAUGCCUCUCUGUUAUCCGCAUCCUCCGCCAAUAAUGGUGCGGAAAACACGCCAAGCCGGUUCCAUUAAUGGAUUAAUACGCGUCGUUUUCGUUGUAGGCCUCGGCGGCAUUGAUUCGGCAGCGUGGCGUGGUGCGUUGCGUGUGCGAUCCGUUGUUAAAAAUAAUGAGGUUAAAGAGGAUUCGCGCUUGGAAUGCAGACACCCGGAUCGGUGGGGGCUUGUACACGUUUUUUUUUACUCACCGCUCAGGCUGUUUCCUUGGUUUGAUGUUCGCUGCAGCGUCGUCCGCCGGAGGAUCAUCCAUCCACGAUGAAUCUCGACCGCUAAUACCGGAGAUCAAAACUUGUGAAACUUCAACUAUAGUCACAAGUUAGGGUCUCAGGGAAUCAGCAGAAACAAAACUAAACAAUAACACUAAACAUCAUGCGGUUAUGAGGAAGGAAGAACCAAAAAAUGAAAGGAGAGUUCACUAGUUCAGUAUAAGAUCUAAAGAAAGGAUUUGGGAAUGAAAGGGUGCCACAUUUAGUUUAAAUAAAACACAAUGCACAGUUCUUCAGAGCAAAGUUGGAAGCUGAUUGCGAUUCACCUGUUGAGUUGCAUACCAACACGUCAAGCUAGCAGAUUGCAUAGUAGAUAUUGGAUUAUACACUACUAUACAACCAACUACCUCAACGUGGAAGAAGCUGAAUUGUUAUCGCUUUAGUUUUGUUGAAUCUCGAAAAGACUGCACAUAAAUAUCACUUUUGCACUAACGAUUUGUAUACAUGAAGCUAAAAGAAAAAUAACCAUCGUUGAGAACAAGUUGCAACUGAGCUUCACUGUAACAAUGAGUUUAGGAUUAGAGCAUUAGCAUUGAUUUCGGAUAUUUUUUGUUUCGUAAAAUGCAAACAAGUAAGACAAUAUUAAAACCUAUUUAAAAUCUGUUGUUGAUGCUAAACUUAGAUAUAACAUAUUCAUAGUAACUAGCGAAAUCGAAUUAAGUUCCAUCGUUAGUCAAAACUUGUGACACCAAUUUGUAACUGAGGUAUAUCUGAAUCUCAGUUACAACUGAUUAUAAAUCAAGUCUAUCCGAAAAGUUUUUUUUUAUCUUUAUUAAAGAGACUUUCAGCCCUCGGCUGGUUCGUCUCUAGUGGUAGAUGGAUCUUAAGGGGCCAUCUCUAAAAGUGAGAAAAAAAUACAGAGUUUAAGUACAAUAUAGAAAAGGAUAGAAGCCAGAAGGGCUGAUCCCAAUGGUUGUUUUAACAAAUUAUCGGUUCGUUGCUGUCGUCUUUGGUUGUCCUUUUGAGUUGAUCCUUGUCGUCAGAAGUAUUAGCGUUAUACGAGAUUGAAGGUCCUAUGUCGUAGCUUAUUUUUAUGUCCAUUUCCCAGUCGAUUCUUGAUUUAAAUUGAAGAGAACAGCUUGGUGUCCUUCAGGAAACAUAACAAGGCUGCCUCCAUCGCUGAGUCGUUAUUUAGAGUUGUUUGGAUGUCUCCUAAUCCGUGUAGUGUCCGAGGUAGUUCCAAUACCGGACAGACGCACAACAUGUGUUCCACGGUGUUAGGAGUUCCACAUGAAUCACAUACUUUUCGAAAACUGGCACCUCCUUCCAUAUUAUGUGAGGCCUUCGUGUGUCCGGUCCUGAGACGAGACAGUACUAGUUGCUCUUUUCGAUCGAUUCUGUCUUCCCAAGGGAAUAUGUUGCCCUUGACUUUCCGAAUAAAUAAGGUUCGAUCUGUCCACCAGUCCUUGGACCAUGCAUCUCUUACCACAGUUUUCAACCAGGAUUUCACGUCAGCUGCAGGUACCUCCAUAGUGAGGCAACGGCCGGUGCGGCCAAGGUUUGCCAGCCGAUCCGCUGAUUCGUUGCCUAGGAUGUUGCUGUGUCCUGGGACCCACAUGAAGCUUAUGCUGGGAGUACGUCUUGUUUCCAAUAGAGUUUGUGUGGCCUGAAUCCAUGGAUGUCGUGUUUUGGGGGACGUGAUGGCUAGAAUACAGCUGGCGGAGUCGGUAACGAUCAACAUUGGUUUCGUGGUUGAGUGAGAUGCGGCUUUGUGUAUAGCUGCUGCCUCUGCUGAAAAAACUGAAGCGAAGUUCGGUAGGCUGUAAUAUUCAUCAAAGUCUUUACCAUAAAUACCAAUUCCAACAGUAUUGGAUAGCUUCGAGCCAUCUGUGUAUAUUAUUUCUGUCUCAGCAUAAUUCGUCGUUAUGCGCUCGUUGAACAAGGCUUUGGCUACAGUCGGAUUAGAUCCCCUUUUAACCCUAUGCUUAAUAUAGUUGUCUACUUGAGGAUCUCUGGCCAGCCAGCUCCUAGGACCAAGCCGGUGUAGCCCAGCCACCGGGGGCCCGAAAAGUGAUACUGUAAACAAAUGUUGAACUUGGAAUUAUAUUCUAUCCCCGUUGGUUUGUUAUGCAUGCAAACCAAUGUGGUUAAUUUUUAUUUUAGCCCUGCAGUAGGCCUGUCCAACUUUAAAAAAGGUUCUCUGAUUCUCAAGUCCACACCCAUGUUUUGAUUGGCAUUCUAAGAGAAGUAACUGGUUAAAAUUUCAGCCAAAUCCAUUGAAAUUUAGAGGAGCAUGAAAACAUUUUUGUGUAUCUCGACUAUUUUAGAACUUCAAAAUAUUAAAAACUUGUCAAAAAUUAACUUUUUCGGCACAAAUUGAAAGAAAAUAAAGUUUAUUUUAUACCUGCUUGCUACAAGUUCUACGAGCAACGUAUGCCAAUAAAAUUGAAGGAAAUAUAUGUAAUUAUCACAUUUGUAAUGAAAAAAAAAAAACCUUAAAAAGUUGAUUUUGUUGAUUUGUGUUGGAACACUCUAAUAGACAUAAAAAGUGAGAUAUGUUAAAACGGUAUCAUAUUCUCUAAUGUUUUGUGGUUAUUUGCUUCUUUGACAUUAUUGCUGUAAGAAUUGAGCAAACAUUAUUAAAAUUCGGGAAAGCCAAAAACUAGCUUUUUGGAGGCAAUCACGCUGUGGCGCUGUGGACUGAACGUAGUAAAUAGCUUUGCUUCCUUGUAAUUUGCCUUGGAUUAUCACGGGUGUCAACAAACAAGCGUGUUGGCUAUCAAUAUCAGUGCUGACGCGAUUCAACUUUCUGCGCGCCAAAGCAUGAUUGCCCCCGUAAAGCUGAUUUUUAUUACAAAAUAGGCUUUCACGAAUUUCAAUGAUUAUUGCUCAACUCGUACAGCAUAGGCGUUGAAGAAUCAAAUAACCACAAAACAAUUGAGUACGAGCCACUACCAUUGCUACGGACUCCUCGAUUUGGAUCAAUUGUUACCUCAAUUAAACUCGAAAGUUUAUUAAAAACCCUUCCUCAAAACGACAACCCGAUUAAAUUCCCAUAAACGAGAAGUUUAUAUUUAAUAUUUAACUUGGAUAUCAUUUUCGAUUUCUUAAUAUUUAACUUCUUAAUAUUUAACUAUCAUCUUGGAUUUCUUAAUAUUAACCUUGGCCACCAUCUUGGAUUUCUAGAAAAAAACAAUGGAAAAUCGUUCCCGUUUUUAACUGCUUCUCAAUGAUGCGGGCAUUGCUUUUAAAACUUUUAUAUUGUUAAAGAUAUUGACCCUAACAUAUUACUAGGGUUAAAUUAAUGAUUGUUGUGAAAUAAUGUUGUAUUUAUGCAAUCAUCUGGUGCCUAACCCAGUGCUCAAAAGUGACAUGAUUUACAAAACUGCAAAUAAUUUUUGAAAGGAAAAAUACAUCUCUCGUAUUUUGAUAUUGCGGCGUAAGAGUAAGUUAUAGCUCUAUCUUUCCUCUUUACAACAACGUAUUAAGAUUUUUUUUUGAAGAAAAUUUCCUGUUAUAACAUUUGAAAUGAACCCAAUAUUUACCAAAAUCGAGGGGUCUGCAAAAAUGGCUAGAACCACAGACAAACAAACGUAACUACAUAGAACAAUUUUCGUGAAAAUCCAUCGCACAGUCCACACUACUAUCUCCUGGUGGAAAUGUUUCACGAAACAUUGCAUUAUGCAAUAACGUCAACAGAUGGUGCUAGAGUGAAACGUCAAACGCAAAGAAAAAUGAUGUGCACGUCUCUAAUUGCGAAAGCCACAACUAUGAAGAUUUCAAAUUAUCGUUAAAAGCGUGGUCGAUGGAAAUUUCGCAUGUGUUACGUCUGUGUGUCUUGUGUGCUGGGGCUCUCACUAAGGGAAGGUCCAUAAAUUUGAGCAACUUAAUACGUUUUCAUUAGUUUUUGUAAGGACUUUCAGAAACUCGUCACCGUAUACACUUGUAAAGACCAAAGGUGAUAGUUGGUGUGAUCCAACGGGAUACAAAAAAAAACCUGAAGGAUUCCUUCUAAAUUUGUUCCUUUUGCUACCCAUAAGCUUUUCUGGAAUUUUGUUUCAAUGCCAUUAUGUAUAAGGGGGGGCUCAACGGUUGUGAAGUUUGCAUAAAAAAACGAUCAAAUGUAUGGAGAAAAGAUAUGUUUUUGAUUGCUACCGCUAGUUGGCACUAUAAGCAAUUAAUCAUUACCAUUUGAAGAUAGAUUAAAAUAUGCUAAACAAUUCUGUUGACGGCGGCAAAGUGAUGCUUGUCAAAAAAGUUAUACAAUGGGCAAAGUGAGCCAAGAUAGAAGAUCGAGAUUGAUGUUAUGUCAUCCCGUUUAAAAGAUAUUGAUGAUUUUCUCCAAAAGAUAGGCACUUUUCAAUUAUUUUUGUUUUGAGUUUCAGUAAUAAUACCUCUCUUUUUUAUAUGUUUUAUAUCAAUAUGUUUUGUUUUGAAUACUGACAAGAGAUAUUUUUUAUGUUUGCCCCAACCAGUGCUGAAAAUGUCAUUUAGACAAAUCUAAAUUCCAAAAUUUUAAAGUCCAGCUUAUUUUAGAAGGUCAACCUGAGAAUAUGAUAUAUGAAAAACUUGUGCGACUAACUCUACAAGAAAAUCACGGAAAAACCGAUCUUUUUCGAAUAUUUAACAUCAAUGUCACGGACUACCUUCGAAAAAUGCCAAUAAUAUUCAAGGUGCAUAUCAAUUGGCAUUUUUGGAAUGUAGUCCGUGAAAUUUAACUUAAAUAUUCAGAAAAGAACAGUUUUCUGUGACUUUCUUGUAGAACUGGUCUAGCCGCACACGUUUUUCAUAUACCAUAUUCUCAGGUUGAGCUUCUAAAAUGAGCUGGAAGUAGUUGAAUUUAGAUAUGUCGAAAUGACAUUCUCAGCACUGGCCCCAACCCCAACAAGCCCGUAACUCUUGAACUGAAAGAGAUAAUUUGUGCACGAAACCACGCGUUUAUCUAUUUCUUGGGUAACCAUGAUGAGAUAUUGAAACUGAAAAUGUUGAAGUCAGAAAACUGACUUUUAUUACCACCCUAUUCUUAUGCAGAAAAUUUGCUCUGGGAUGGUCAAUUUUAAAGCUACAGAGCAAACAUGCACAAAACUGAUAGAUUUACAACUUUGCAAAAAAAAAUGCAUCCGAAUAAAAAAGUUUGGUUUAAAAAAAAAAUAGACCACCCCUAUUUUCAUGUCUAUUGGAACAAGAGCCGUACUUAGGAACAACAUUGUAGAAGAGCAUACUCGUCUAAAAAGUAUUUAAAGGCAUAUUUCCUCGUUAAUCUGGGUCUCUUGGUCUGGACCACUGUGUCGUGGAUAAAGCCUGCGCACUUUAGAAACGGUAUACUUCCAGUCGGCUGCAGAUAUAAAACGGUUUCAAUUAGGAAAAAGUGUUUUUAGAAAAAAAUGAAGCUAAUUAUUGUAUUUCGUAGGAAAAAAUAUAAAAUUAGCUGUUUUUAUUUUUUUAGAUGAAAUAUUGAUCUGAUUUCAUAAAUAUGUAGUGCCAGUUUUUCCGCACAAAUUGUAUAAAAAUCAAUCUUUGGCAGAUUCAAGAUUUGUGUAGAAAUAUAAAAUUGCCAAAUUCAUCAACUACACACUAUCGAAUCGUUUGAGGUAUAAUGACUGUUGCUUAAGGGAGAUAAAAGAUGACCGAUAUAUUUAACUAUAGUUAACCUGUGAAGGAUUUCACGGAAAAUUAAAGGCUUCCAUACAUAUUCAAGGCCAUAAAACUUAUUUUUACAUGAACUCCAGUUCGGCAAAUACGCAUUCGGAAAGGCUACUAUACGAACAGUAUUGGUAUACAAUAAAUCAAUGUUUUGACUUACAACAACAUGAAUAAUCGUGGAUCGAAAGCUGUAAGAAAUUUUGCUGGCGAAAUUCGUAGAAUGUGUUUUAAUGGCGUGAAAUAUCUAAAGGCAUCUUUUAUUGAAACUGUAUCUACUCAGAAGUUUUUAUUUGUAUUGUGGUCAUAGUAUUUCAUAAUCUAUAUGAUUUGCAAGGCUUUAUUCAUGAUAACUGUCUAAUUUAAGGUUCUAAGGAGGAUGAGUUUGCCUUAUGACUGUUAAUUUCUGCUUGCUGAGUGGGAAAACAGCUAAUAAUUUCAAAAAUAAUCCAGGUUUGGAUAUGAAUUAUAUUAGGCCACUUAAAUUAUGCAAAUGUUGAUAGUCAAAAAAACGAUUCCAGUGAAUAUUUAUUCAUAAAAAUACUAUGGAUCAAUUUAUGCUUCGAAUAUAGCAUGAAUGGACAAUAAGGCUACAUUUAAUAUGGCCUUGUAAACCAUAUAUGUCAAAGCUUGUUGUGACUUGUUUUGGGCAUAUCUUUGGUGAAUAUAAUUUUGUUUUUUUUUGUAGAAAUGCCAGUUCGUAAGCUGUGAAAUUUGCAAGUUUCAACGAUCAUUGAUUUAUGCAGAAGAAAAUGGCUUGAAUUACAAACUCAGAUCGAAAUUUCAUCUUGAAGAAAUAUGAGCAUCAAAUUUCAUAUUUUUCCUACAAAAUACAACAAAUAAGCCUCAUUUGCUUGUCACAACAUGUUUUUCUAGGUUAAGCCGUUUUUGAUCUGCAGCUGGUUGAUAGUGUACCGAUUAUAAAUUACGCAGGUUUUUAUAGGAUGUAAACUAUAAUUUAAAUAAUUCACAAAGAGCUAUUUUUCAGAAACGCUUUGUGAAUUCCGCGAAUAUAAGAACAUCCCUGAACAAAUAUAAUGAGGAAAAGCUGACACGAUGGCGCUCCGGCGAGAUAGGAGUGUUGGCGAAGGCCCUAUAAGCCACCCGUAAAAGUCCUCAGUUCGAAUAACCUACAAGAAAAUACGACUCGAUACAAUCGCCAAAGACCAACGCGAUGAAAAAAGGACUACGAUUGCAAUCUUGGAACAUGGAGUUGCAAGUCACUUGGUUUGGCAGGUUGUGACAGCAUAAUCUACGACCACGGUUCCCAACCUUGUUUCUCGCGACCCCCCAGUCUGUCGUCACUGCGCUUUUCGUAAAACAAUCGAAGCGUGCCUGCAAGCGGUUGGGGGGUCGCGAAACGAAGGUUGGGAAGCUAUGAUCUACGGCGAAUUACCAAGCGUCGCAGUCGAACGCAGCCUUAACAUCGAGCGACUGCGGAACGUAGAAGUUGCUGAAGACUACGCGCAGCAGUUAGCAGUGGCCCUACCAACGGAAGUGCAGCUUGGCGUAGCUGCACUUGAAGAUGGCUGAAGGGACAUCCGAUCCACCAUAGGUAGCACCUCUGCUGCAGCACUAGGCUUCGCGAUUCCGAAUCACAGAUACGACGGCGGUUGUGGACAGUUGCACAGUAAAACCGCUCAGCACUCAAAUGUGUAAGCCCUACUCAUAAGUGCAUAAUUUCCAGACCACACAAAAAUGUGUUACAGUUACACAUUCUCAAAUCAGCUCGUACACCCGUCGAGAUGCGAAAUGUCGAUAUUUUUGUUUUUUGUUUUCCAAGGUCACCUAGCUAGAUUGCUGUACAAACAUUUUUGCGAAUUUAACGAUUUUGCGGACACAUGAGCUGAUUUUGUGAAUGUGCAAGGGUUACACAUUUGUGGUGUAGUCUGGAAAUUAUGCACUUUAGUGCUGAGCGGCGUUAGCGUGUGAAAAACGAGAAGAAUGCAGCAUGGGCGAGGAUGUUGCAACACCGUACGAGGGCGAAUGAGGCACGUUGUAGACAGGUGCGCUUCAGGCAGAACUCAGUCCUCCGGAGGAAGAAACGCCAGCAGGAAGAACGAGAUAACGAAGCGAUAGAAGAGCUGUACCGUGCUAAGGACACACGGAAGCAAGGUUAGUAUAUAUUGUAAGGCUUAGAUGUCAAAAUUGGCUGUGUGGCCAUUUUUUUCACUGCGAGAAAUUCUGAAAACAAAUACCCCACAUCCUCAAAUUCUUUUGAAAUUUCGAUUCCUCUCAUUUUCUCCACAAACUAAACGUCAUGCUCAACCUUACAAUAGUCCUGUUCAACGACGUAGGUUGAACUUGCUCGAACUUGCUCCAUCCCACUCUUUCCCGUUUGUUGACAAAUGGGUAAGAGUAGGAUGCAGCAACUUCUACGAGAAGCUGAUCCGCUCGCGCAGAACGUCCUAUCCUAUAUCCCCUUCUCCCUCAGGUAGAUGAUAAAAUAUGCUCAUAUACCUAUAUGGCGAUGGCACAAAUGCCCCAAAUGGAGGAUAACAUGCCUCUGGAGUCGUGCCAUGAUGGCAAAGGGCUCUAUGGAUUAAUUAACGCACACGCCUCCCUGAAUAUUGACGAUGAUGAAAUCGAGGCGGUUGAAGAACUCGUCUACUUGGGCUCACUGGUGAUCGCCGACAACGACACUAGUAGAAAAAUUUAGAGACGCAUUGCAUUGUGACAGAAAAUCGAGCCUACUUUGGACUCCGCAAAACUCUACGAUUGAACAAAUUUCACCGUCACACGAUGUUAACUAGGUAUCUACAAAACGCUGUUUAGAUAGGUAGUCCUCUAUGGGCAGGAAAAAUUAAUUCUACGUUCAGAGGACCAACGCACCCUUGGAAUUUACGGACGGAAGAGGCUACGUAGCAUCUACGGCGGAGUGCAGAUGGAAGACGGGACUUGCAGAAGGCGAAUGAACCACGAGUUGCAUAAGCUGCUGAGAGAACCAUCGUCCACAUCGCGAUAAUCGGGAGGAUACGGAGGGCAGGUCAUCAGGAUGAUGGAAAGCAGCCCGAUUAAAAUGGUUCUCAAGAGCCAUCCGACCGGUACAAGAAGACGUGGUGUGCAGCGAGCUAGAUGGGUCGAGCAAGUGGAGGGCGUUUUGCGGACCCUUCGUAGAGGAGACUCAGGCCUGAGUCUAACCGGUAAGGUAAGUAUCAACCGUCUCUUAGAUAUGCGCAGUAUUGCUCAAGUAUAACUUAGGUGUAUGGGUUGCCAUAUUUUUAAACGGUGUUAUUCUUGAGUUAGAUAUGAUUUUUAGCUAAUUGCUAGUUCUUCGCACACGUUUGAACUUGAAAAACACUUAGUUGUAUAGAAUAUAAUCUACGGGUUUGAAAUCAUGAGCUCUCUAAAGCACUUACGCCCUUCUGAAAUGUUGGUCACAGAAUGUCAACUUAUACUGGUUGACCGAUUAACCCGAAGGAUCGACAAGUGAUUACUUAAGAUGCAAACCUAAAACUUCUAUCAAAAACGUUUGUGCUAGAUGUAAUUUCAACAAAAUAGAUACUUUUACGGAGGUACCGGAUCUUCAGACUACUACCAAGCCCAUAAACUACGAAAACUGUACUAUGGGAUAGUUCAGGCCAAAGUCUAAGGAAACCGUAAGCACCCCUACGCUACACUAAGGGGAUUCAGGUGUCCAAAAAUCGAAAAUUGAGUUUAUUCAAUUUGAGAUUAAGGUUCGGUAGUUGAAAGUAGACCACUUGGACCAGUAAACCCUAGAAUAUCAGUUUGCAAUUCCCUAUACUUAUCGAGAUAUUGGCAGCAUAAUGAGACCAUUGCCAAUUUUUGGUAAAAUUAAUGAAAUGUUCAACUUUGCAUAUCUUCGGCUUAAAUGAAAUAUGUCAAACUUUUAAAGUAGUUUUUAAAAGCUUACUUGUAAACCUUUCGAAUGACGUAUAAGACGUAGAAAUGUUUAUUUAAAAAAAAAUUAAAAAAAUUUCUAUACUUUGUUUAGGAUCCCUGGAAGGCAUUGAAAUCAAAUUUGGCUGCUACUAGCUGCUAUUCUGCAAUUCCAAUCAUGUUGUCGGCGAUGAUUGAGACAUUGCUUUUAUAAAACCACCCUAUUGGCCAUUAAAUACCUCUGAGGAAACAUUUGGUCGUCAUGGCCACUUUUAUCGGUAGAUCAAUCAUAGUGCAGUCUAAAUCUGGUCUUGGAUCUCUUAGUGAAGCGUGUUUUUACGAAUUGGAAUCCAUUUUGUAAAUAGGAAUAAAAAUCCUUAAACGCCUAAAAGCCUAAAAGUAUGCAAUGCCCUUGUAAUUUCAUGCUGUUUCAAACUAUCGUCUUGAAACAACCUGUUCAACAUGUUUUUCAUAUUUUUCAGGCAUAAACCCUACGAAUAGGAGCAAGAUAUUAUAAAAAUGACGCGAAAAUAUUUUUGGCCACCUGUUUGUAUGGGGCCGCCCAUAGUGCGCUAGUGUUGUUGUGUUCGACUUUGGAGGUUUCACUAACGUGUUGUAUGAUAUACAAUAGCACGUCUAGUAAAUGAAGCUUCAAAGAGAAAAAAAGAAGUCGAUAUAAUCAAAACAUUUUUUCACCAACAGUCGACAAUUGAAAUUUGGCCUGAAGUAUGUUUUUUUAAUUGAUCUGAAUAACUCAGUUGAAAUUAAAAAAAUUAAAAAACUACAAUACCAAUAACGAGGGAAGUUUUUUAGGCCAUAACACCAAUUACUCAGAACUAGCCAUUGCGCAUAUUUCUCACAUUUAUUUCAAAUAACAUGGAAAGAAUCAAGUUUUCUUGGUUGAGAUAUACACAUAUAUGAUAUUACUUACCUGUUGUGUUGGUUUCAGUCUCUCACGCCAUUUUUGUGGGAUUUACAUGGUCAACCAGGAAAACAGAUGCAGAAGGGUGAGCGGUAUAUGUUCAGCAAAUUUGAUUGUAACGUGGCAAAACUCUACAGUCUUCAAAUUCCCCAACAAGAUUUAAUCCUAGUAGAAUGUUGGGGUCAAUAUGGGCCAGACAGGCUCGUUGAACGUGUGUAUGUAGUUAGUCUAGCGUAACAUCUCAGGAGGUGAUUGAAAAAUAAUACUUGGCCACCAAUAGGGCACUGCAUAAAAUUCUCGCCUUCUCUUUCACUCUCACUGAAAUUUUGUAAAUAAUAAGGCCAAGAAACGUCAAAAUCCCAUACAUAAUCAAAACAUUGCAGUGCCCUAUAGCUGUUGUGUCCAUGGUAGUAAUAAGGAGCUGGCCAUUUAUUACGUAAGGGAGGUUUCGCGAUUGUUCAACUCCGGGGAGGGGGUGUAAGAUUUUUCGUAUGAGGACCUAAAUGUUUUUGUAUGGCGCGUAAGACUUAUCAAACCCCCUCCUCCCCAUAAACUGUCACUUAAUCAAUGGACACCCCCUAAGAGGUAAAAUACCAAAAACUUCACCGCAAUUUUUUUUUUACUGGCAGUCAGUAAACAUUGCUCAUUUUUUGUGCUGAUUGCAUACAUCGCUGAGUAACUUUUUUUCUGAAUCAUCCAGCAAUUUUAAAAUAUUUAUAACGUUGUGCUGAAAUUCAGUAAGAUAUUGCAUAAAAUACAACAACUUCUAUUGUCGGUUUUUUGUGCUGGACAUGUUUAAUACCAAAAUAUUGUCAAAUAACAAGUGAAUAACAACUCUUGUAUCGAUUAUGGUUAGUUAUGGAUAGGAUAUUAUCGUUACCAUUUUUGGGAUAUAUUUUUUUUUCAUAAUUUUAACAUUUUUAUUACCAAGUGUUUAACAGGUUCAGGUAUCUAUUGUAUAACUGGGUAAGAAUGUCAUUUUUUCUUCUAUUCGGGAGAGUAAGGUAAGUAAGAGUUCGAAAAUAAAUGAACUUGUUUUUCAGUAAAUUGAAGUCAAUAAACAAAUGAUUUUACCAUACAUAUGCUUAAAGUUUACUGAACAAACCAAAGCCAAAUUUGGUUUGCUGGAGUUAGAGUUUGAAAUUAGAGUUAGUGAAAAUUUGAUAACUGUAACACAAUACUUCAAAUACCUGAAAUUAGUUAGAAUUUGAUUUGUAUGUUGAAUUACCUCUUAGAUUUGUUCUUUUUUCUGGUUCGCAAAACUUCAGAUUUUUUUUUUUGCAAAAAUCAUGUAAAACGGAAAAGUCUAACAACUAAUAUGGAAAGACUUGAAUAAUUAAAUUUUAGAGAUUUGAUGUACAUUUUGAAUAGUUUUAGGCGUUAAAUCGUAGUUGCCAUAUGAAUUGAAUUCUUGUCCUAAAAUUCGUAUUGUAGAUCCACUGUCCCUAAAAUAUGAUUGCUCAACUUUUUUGCGGAAAAAAAUCUGCAUGCUCAAGCAUUUCAAAGUAUACCUAGUAGCUCUUCAAAAUAAAAUACCGACUUAAAUAUCAACCGACUUAUGAUCCAUGUUAUAAAAGAUCCAAUGCAAAUGAUUUUUCUUAUAUAAAACUAAGAAUUUGCAUUACCUACUUUUGAAAUCUCAAUCGAUUUCCAAUUUUAUUGGAAUGAGAAAUUUCUAACAAUUUUCCACUUUUAAUGACAUUUUGUUCAUGAACUGGAUUUAGUGAUUCAUUAACUUUUGCAUCAUUUUCCUUACCUAAUUUUUGAUAAGGGCAUAUGAAAAAAACCUUCUUCUUUUCUACUUCAAAAAAUAUAUAACAUGAAAACGGUUUAUUGGAUUGAAAUUAUGUCUUCAAAGAUUGGGGACUUAAAAAAAUACACAGAACGAGGAUCUAGAUUUCAUUUUUUUUUCUAAAUUUAAAAGGUCGCGGCUAUGCGAUUGGUGCGUUGACCUGGAAAUGCCCUGUUUUAACAUCCAUAAGGAAAAAAAAGCUUUAAAACGUACUUUAGCCGCACCAAUUGAAAAAAUCUGGAUCAGUUGUGGCCUCCCAGAACUGGAUUUCGAUAAACAAAAAUUAAGCCACAUUUUGCUCACAAAUUUCUCAAAAUAAAAACAUGAUAUCAAUUUCCUUACCCAUUUACCACACCCGUUUGUACAUACUGUUGUCCAGUCUUUUGUUUGUAAAACUUUAAAAAUGCACUAUAAAUGUUUAUAGGUAGACAACUAGCGGCUACAAUAUAAAGUAUAUGUGAUUAUUUACAUACGGGUUAAGUUAUAGAUAGUAAGGAACUAAGAAAAACUAAAUAAUAAACCAGCAACUACUUUCAUUCCAAUCAGGGCCAAUCAAACAUCCGCAUUUCAAAGACUUUUAUUUUUCUCAAUAAAGAUAAUCAAAUUAAGCUUAUAAACAUGACCAAUUUGUUUUCGUUUGUGUGUUUUUUUUUCUUUUCUGCAACAUCAGGAUGUGAAACAAAACAGCAGUAAGUGAAACAGCCAAUUAUUUUGGAUUGUUUUUUAUUUCAACUCAUUUUAUUUUUGGAUUCGAGCUUUUUGCUUACUUCUAAUGAAAAUAAUAUCGUUUUGUGGGAACGGUGUGAGUGUGGGGGAAGGAAAAUAGGAGGAUGGUCUUGGAAACAGAUUGGGAAAGAAGCUUUCAAUGACAUGGAAAAAAUGAUGCAAUUGUUAUUGUUUCGUUUCACUAUGUAUGAACGAUUGGUUCCACUCCAAUACACUUCCGUGUGCACUUCGAGACUAGUCACAUCUCUGUAUCCGGUAAUCGUGCUUAUUUCACUUAGGUUCUCGGAUGCUGGGCCAACUACCAUCACCAAUCACUAACAGCCAUUCUCGCGCACACACACAUACGAACGGCAAACACGGAACAAAAAGAGCAACUUCUCUCACAUGACGGCAAACACUUUCGAAAUGAACCGACUACGGCUGGCUGUGGAUUUACUGGCUCCUCCAGGGUCCCUAUCGAACGGAGAACUUCGAUGAAAUUGUUUUUUUUUCGUUGGCCUCGGUCCCGCAAAUCGAUCGAUGCUUUAGCCAUACAUCGGCAGAAUCCCAUACAUCCGUUCUUGUAACAUGUGAAACGGCAGCACAAGUUCGGAUCUACGGGUUCCUGCAAAUGGGUUACUACAACCA